UUCUUUAUCUUGUGAUGGUCUUUUCUUUGGAUUAACCUUCUCUGUUUUCUAAGGAUAGCUUAAAAAGAAGGGAACCCAAUGUUGUUAUGCGUUUCUCCUUUUUUACCUUCUGAGUAUUAUGUUUUGUCUUGAAGAGGUAAGCUUCACAGUCCACUAAUUCUUAUUAGCUUUUAUUGUAGAAAGUGACUCGAAGGGUGAAUAUUUAUUUUGAAAUUCCUAGACUUUAGCUUCCUCUCUCCCACAUUAUCUCUACCACCCAUUGAAGCUGAGCCUGAGACAGAUGAGGUGACUUCAAGCCCUUGGGGUGCAAGUUGCUCACUCAUCCUUGAAAUCCAGUGCUGUUCACUAUCAUGAACUCAUUGACGUAAAGUGAUCCCUUGUCGAUGCAGCUAAAGGAACUUGCAACCAAACCACAUGCCCAAAACUCAAAACCAAAGAUAAGACUUGCAUUUGUUGUUCCUCCGAUAAGAGAUGUUACCCGACCAAACAAAGAUGUGGAGGUUGGUGUGCAUAAAUUAUCUCGAGAAGGUACAUCAAGGAUUUAAGAAAACCUGAAUAACCAUUUUAUUAAAUUCUUUCU